AGCGAACGCUGGCGGCAGGCCUAAUACAUGCAAGUCGAACGCACCGCAAGGUGAGUGGCAGACGGGUGAGUAACGCGUGGGAAUCUUCCUUGCAGUACGGAAUAACUCCGGGAAACCGGUGCUAAUACCGUAUACGCCCUUUGGGGGAAAGAUUUAUCGCUGCAAGAUGAGCCCGCGUCGGAUUAGCUAGUUGGUGGGGUAAUGGCCUACCAAGGCGACGAUCCGUAGCUGGUCUGAGAGGAUGAUCAGCCACACUGGGACUGAGACACGGCCCAGACUCCUACGGGAGGCAGCAGUAGGGAAUAUUGGACAAUGGGCGAAAGCCUGAUCCAGCCAUGCCGCGCGAGUGAAGAAGGCCUUAGGGUUGUAAAGCUCUUUUGGCGGGGACGAUAAUGACGGUACCCGCAGAAUAAGCUCCGGCUAACUUCGUGCCAGCAGCCGCGGUAA
rnacentral:rRNA from 1 species